rnacentral:rRNA from 1 species
CGUAGGGCGCGAGCGUUGUCCGGAUUUAUUGGGCGUAAAGAGCUCGUAGGCGGCUUGUUGCGUCGACCGUGAAAACCCGUGGCUUAACUGCGGGCUUGCGGUCGAUACGGGCGGGCUGGAGUUCGGUAGGGGAGACUGGAAUUCCUGGUGUAGCGGUGAAAUGCGCAGAUAUCAGGAGGAACACCGGUGGCGAAGGCGGGUCUCUGGCCGAUACUGACGCUGAGGAGCGAAAGCGUGGGGAGCGAACAGGAUUAGAUACCCUGGUAGUCCACGCUGUAAACGUUGGGCGCUAGGUGUGGGGGGCCUCUCCGGUUUCCUGUGCCGCAGCUAACGCAUUAAGCGCCCCGCCUGGGGAGUACGGCCGCAAGGCUA